GUCACAGACGGCAGGACGCCCUGACCGUGUCCACCAUGGCCUGGUCGCCUCUGCUCCUCACCCUGGUCGCUCUCUGCACAGGAUCCUGGGCCCAGGCUGUGCUGACUCAGCCGUCCUCCGUGUCCGGGUCCCUGGGCCAGAGGGUCUCCAUCACCUGCUCUGGAAGUAGCAGCAACAUCGGGCGUGGUUAUGGUAGCUGGUACCAACAGGUCCCAGGAUCAGCCCCCAAACUCCUCAUCUAUGGUGCAACCAGUCGAGCCUCGGGGGUCCCCGACCGAUUCUCUGGCUCCAGGUCUGGGAACACAGCCACCUUGACCAUCAGCUCGCUCCAGGCUGAGGACGAGGCGGAUUAUUACUGUGCAGCUUAUGAUAGUAGUAGCAGCAAUGGUGUUUUCGGCAGCGGGACCAGGCUGACCGUGCUGGGUCAGCCCAAGUCCGCACCCUCAGUCACCCUGUUCCCGCCCUCCACGGAGGAGCUCAAUGCCAACAAGGCCACCGUGGUGUGUCUCAUCAGCGACUUCUACCCGGGUAGCGUGACCGUGGUCUGGAAGGCAGAUGGCAGCACCAUCAAUCAGAACGUGAAGACCACCCAGGCCUCCAAACAGAGCAACAGCAAGUACGCGGCCAGCAGCUACCUGACCCUGACGGGCAGCGAGUGGAAGUCUAAGAGCAGUUACAGCUGCGAGGUCACGCACGAGGGGAGCACCGUGAAGAAGACAGUGAAGCCCUCCGAGUGUUCUUAGGGCCCUGGGCCCCCACCCCGGAAAGUCCUGCCCUCCCACCCUGGCUCCCCCUAGCCCUUCCUCCUGCACGCAAUCAGCUCUCAAUAAAAUGUCCUCAUUGUCAUUCAGAAA